UGUUAGCGGCGGACGGGUGAGUAACACGUGGAUAACCUACCUAUAAGACUGGGAUAACUUCGGGAAACCGGAGCUAAUACCGGAUAAUAUUUUGAACCGCAUGGUUCAAAAGUGAAAGACGGUCUUGCUGUCACUUAUAGAUGGAUCCGCGCUGCAUCAGCUAGUUGGUAAGGUAACGGCUUACCAAGGCAACGAUGCAUAGCCGACCUGAGAGGGUGAUCGGCCACACUGGAACUGAGACACGGUCCAGACUCCUACGGGAGGCAGCAGUAGGGAAUCUUCCGCAAUGGGCGAAAGCCUGACGGAGCAACGCCGCAUGAGUGAUGAAGGUCUUCGGAUCGUAAAACUCUGUUAUUAGGGAAGAACAUAUGUGUAAGUAACUGUGCACAUCUUGACGGUACCUAAUCAGAAAGCCACGGCUAACUACGUGCCAGCAGCCGCGGUAAUACGUAGGUGGCAAGCGUUAUCCGGAAUUAUUGGGCGUAAAGCGCGCGUAGGCGGUUUUUUAAGUCUGAUGUGAAAGCCCACGGCUCAACCGUGGAGGGUCAUUGGAAACUGGAAAACUUGAGUGCAGAAGAGGAAAGUGGAAUUCCAUGUGUAGCGGUGAAAUGCGCAGAGAUAUGGAGGAACACCAGUGGCGAAGG
rnacentral:rRNA from 1 species